CCAAAUGUCUCUGUGGCCUGUGGGAUCCUCUUAACAGUGCAUGUCACUGUAGCCUCAGCUGAAAGUAGUUUCUCCAAACUGAAACUAGUGAAAAAAUAUUUGUGAUCAACUAUGUUGCAAGAUAGAUUGAAUGGCUUGGCUAUGUGCUGCAUUGAGAAGGAUAUCUUGGACAAUGUUGAUCUUGAUUGUGCCCUCAAUGACUUUGCAAACGCCCGAAGAAACUUUUUCUGA
rnacentral:rRNA from 1 species